CGAACGCUGGCGGCGUGCUUAACACAUGCAAGUCGAACGGAAAGGCCCUGCUUUUGUGGGGUGCUCGAGUGGCGAACGGGUGAGUAACACGUGAGUAACCUGCCCUUGACUUUGGGAUAACUUCAGGAAACUGGGGCUAAUACCGGAUAGGAGCUCCUGCUGCAUGGUGGGGGUUGGAAAGUUUCGGCGGUUGGGGAUGGACUCGCGGCUUAUCAGCUUGUUGGUGGGGUAGUGGCUUACCAAGGCUUUGACGGGUAGCCGGCCUGAGAGGGUGACCGGCCACAUUGGGACGGAGAUACGGCCCAGACUCCUACGGGAGGCAGCAGUGGGAAUAUUGCACAAUGGGCGGAAGCCUGAUGCAGCAACGCCGCGUGCGGGAUGACGGCCUUCGGGUUGUAAACCGCUUUCGCCUGUGACGAAGCGUGAGUGACGGUAAUGGGUAAAGAAGCACCGGCUAACUACGUG
rnacentral:rRNA from 1 species